rnacentral:rRNA from 1 species
GGUUAAGUUAGAAAGGGCGCACGGUGGAUGCCUUGGCACUAGGAGCCGAUGAAGGACGGGACGAACACCGAUAUGCUUCGGGGAGCUGUAAGCAAGCUUUGAUCCGGAGAUUUCCGAAUGGGGAAACCCACCACUCGUAAUGGAGUGGUAUCCAUAUCUGAAUACAUAGGAUAUGAGAAGGCAGACCCGGGGAACUGAAACAUCUAAGUACCCGGAGGAAGAGAAAGCAAAUGCGAUUCCCUGAGUAGCGGCGAGCGAAACGGGACCAGCCCAAACCAAGAGGCUUGCCUCUUGGGGUUGUAGGACACUCUGUACGGAGUUACAAAGGAACGAGGUAGAUGAAGAGGUCUGGAAAGGCCCGCCAUAGGAGGUAACAGCCCUGUAGUCAAAACUUCGUUCUCUCCUGAGUGGAUCCUGAGUACGGCGGAACACGUGAAAUUCCGUCGGAAUCCGGGAGGACCAUCUCCCAAGGCUAAAUACUCCCUAGUGACCGAUAGUGAACCAGUACCGUGAGGGAAAGGUGAAAAGCACCCCGGAAGGGGAGUGAAAGAGAUCCUGAAACCGUGUGCCUACAAGUAGUCAGAGCCCGUUAACGGGUGAUGGCGUGCCUUUUGUAGAAUGAACCGGCGAGUUACGAUCCCGUGCAAGGUUAAGCAGAAGAUGCGGAGCCGCAGCGAAAGCGAGUCUGAAUAGGGCGAAUUGAGUACGUGGUCGUAGACCCGAAACCAGGUGAUCUACCCAUGUCCAGGGUGAAGUUCAGGUAACACUGAAUGGAGGCCCGAACCCACGCACGUUGAAAAGUGCGGGGAUGAGGUGUGGGUAGGGGUGAAAUGCCAAUCGAACCUGGAGAUAGCUGGUUCUCUCCGAAAUAGCUUUAGGGCUAGCCUCAAGGUAAGAGUCUCGGAGGUAGAGCACUGAUUGGACUAGGGGCCCCUACCGGGUUACCGAAUUCAGUCAAACUCCGAAUGCCGAUGACUUAUCCUUGGGAGUCAGACUGCGAGUGAUAAGAUCCGUAGUCGAAAGGGAAACAGCCCAGACCGCCAGCUAAGGUCCCAAAGUAUACGUUAAGUGGAAAAGGAUGUGGAGUUGCUUAGACAACCAGGAUGUUGGCUUAGAAGCAGCCACCAUUUAAAGAGUGCGUAAUAGCUCACUGGUCGAGUGACUCUGCGCCGAAAAUGUACCGGGGCUAAACGUAUCACCGAAGCUGCGGACUGUUCUUCGAACAGUGGUAGGAGAGCGUUCUAAGGGCUGUGAAGCAAGACCGGAAGGACUUGUGGAGCGCUUAGAAGUGAGAAUGCCGGUAUGAGUAGCGAAAGAGGGGUGAGAAUCCCCUCCACCGAAUGCCUAAGGUUUCCUGAGGAAGGCUCGUCCGCUCAGGGUUAGUCGGGACCUAAGCCGAGGCCGAAAGGCGUAGGCGAUGGAUAACAGGUUGAUAUUCCUGUACCACCUCCUCACCAUUUGAGCAAUGGGGGGACGCAGGAGGAUAGGGUAAGCGCGGUAUUGGAUAUCCGCGUCCAAGCAGUUAGGCUGGGAAAUAGGCAAAUCCGUUUCCCGUGAAGGCUGAGCUGUGAUGGCGAGCGAAUUAUAGUAGCGAAGUUCCUGAUUCCACACUGCCAAGAAAAGCCUCUAGCGAGGUGAGAGGUGCCCGUACCGCAAACCGACACAGGUAGGCGAGGAGAGAAUCCUAAGGUGAUCGAGAGAACUCUCGUUAAGGAACUCGGCAAAAUGACCCCGUAACUUCGGGAGAAGGGGUGCUCUGUUAGGGUGCAAGCCCGAGAGAGCCGCAGUGAAUAGGCCCAGGCGACUGUUUAGCAAAAACACA